rnacentral:ribozyme from 1 species
CAUUGUUCAAGAAAGUGCGUGUAGAAUGGGAGAGAGAUAUAAGCGAAAAUCAGAAAAAGCUGAAAAGAAAAGGAUAAGUAGAUUUUUGUUUUCUUGCGAUCAGUACUGUUUUA